rnacentral:tRNA from 1 species
UGUAGCAUAGCUCAAUGGAUAGAGCACCGCAGAUAGCUAAUCACUCAUGCGGUUGGUGGUGGUUCGAUUCCAUCUGCUACAG